rnacentral:rRNA from 1 species
AAGGGAAGCGACCCCGCGAGGGUGAGCAAAUCUCAAAAAUAACGUCUCAGUUCGGAUUGUAGUCUGCAACUCGACUACAUGAAGCUGGAAUCGCUAGUAAUCGCGAAUCAGAAUGUCGCGGUGAAUACGUUCCCGGGUCUUGUACACACCGCCCGUCACACCAUGGGAGUCGGAUAUGCCCGAAGUCAGUGACCCAACCAUAUGGAGGGAGCUGCCGAAGGUGGGGCCGAUAACUGGGGUGAAGUCGUAACAAGGUAGC